GAAAAUUCCCUCUGGGUACAAGCCAGCUAUGGACUCAGUGUGAGAAGGCCUUCAGCCAGAGAUCAUUUCUUGUCUUCUCAUCCCAGGAUUUGUACUGAAAAGAAACAUGAAUGUGCUCAUCAGAGACAUGCUUAUUUUCUGGAACAUUGAGGUUAUUGGUAAAGGUUAACUUUUUUGUCUGAUUGUAACAGAGUGGUAAAACAAAGGAAGUUCAUGCAUGGCAACCCUCCAGUUUGUAAAACAAACAAAAAAGGAGGCAUCAUCUCAUGAACUGCAGGAUUGUGUGAAAGAAGACAUCUGGAUGUUCUCAGAAAUAGAAUGUCUUCAGAAUGAGGAAAAGGAUUUGUGUCAGUAUUAUGUCAAGUGGGGAACAAUGUUUGGUGAAGGGAAGACAUCAGCAUUGCAUGACCAAGUGUAUAAAAAUUGGGGUAAUUUAGAGGAAUUUUGUGGUCUCCCACAGGCAACCUCUAUGUAUGGCCUACAUUACAUGUAUGUAUCAGCCUACAUUGAGUCUAUGUGCAUGUGACAAUCAAGAAACUUCUCAUUACCUUGAACUGGUUUCAGCCUCUUGAUUUUUGUGACUCACCAAUCAUGAUUGGUGAUGAGGAAGGGAUUCCCAUGAUGGCCUUAAGGUAGAGCAGAACCAUUGUGGGGGAAAAGCAGCCACUAGUAGGCAGGAGACUGUGACAUUCCAGGAUGUGGCUGUGGACUUCACCCAGGAGGAGUGGGGCCUCUUGGAUACCCCUCAGAAGGAGCUGUACAAGGAGGUCAUGCUGGAGAAUGCCUGGAACCUGCUCUCCCUGGGGCUUCCUGUUCCCAGAGAAGAUGUGAUCUCUUAUUUUGAGCAAAGGGAAA